rnacentral:rRNA from 1 species
GACACGCAGAGAACUUUCCAGAGAUGGAUUGGUGCCUUCGGGAACUCUGACACAGGUGCUGCAUGGCUGUCGUCAGCUCGCGUCGUGAGAUGUUGGGUUAAGUCCCGUAACGAGCGCAACCCUUGUCCUUAGUUACCAGCACGUUAUGGUGGGCACUCUAAGGAGACUGCCGGUGACAAACCGGAGGAAGGUGGGGAUGACGUCAAGUCAUCAUGGCCCUUACGGCCUGGGCUACACACGUGCUACAAUGGUCGGUACAAAGGGUUGCCAAGCCGCGAGGUGGAGCUAAUCCCAUAAAACCGAUCGUAGUCCGGAUCGCAGUCUGCAACUCGACUGCGUGAAGUCGGAAUCGCUAGUAAUCGUGAAUCAGAAUGUCACGGUGAAUACGUUCCCGGGCCUU